UCCAACACUCUCACACUUGUGCUCCAACAAUUGAGGCUCAUCUUUAAUCAUAGCCGUUAGAUUCUAUGCUCUAUAAAAUAAAAAAAAUGUAUGCUUAACCGAACUUAAUUAAUAAACCGGUUUUUUAGUUUGUAAAGUAAAAGACUAGACUCUAGUAUAUGCUCAUCGCUUUCUUUCACCUAAUAUAUGCACAUCUGCUUAUUCUAUAGUAUACCCAUUUAUAUUUUAAUAUUCAAUAAGGGUGCGUUCUCUUUGGUUGCAAAUUUAUUAUGGAAAAAUGAAGAAUAAACAAAAUUUCACCCUUUAAAUCUUUUCUUUCUUUUUCCACAUUUCCUACUUGGCCCUUAAUAAUUCCUCAUUUACACUACAAAGGAGAGAUAAUAUUAUCACACCAUUUUUGGAGGGAUAAUAUUAUCCCUUCUUUAUAGUGUAAAUGAGGAAUGAGUAAGGGUCAAGUAGGAUAUUUCGGNCGUCCUCCUUCUCCGUCUUCGUCUCCGGUGUGCGGGCUGAUGAUCGUGCUGGAUGGACAAUGACUGUGCCACACUGUGGAGUGAGGCCAUAAUUAUAAAAAUACAAUAAAAAAAUCUAACGGGGUUAAGUUACCAUAAAAACGGGAGGGUAGUGAGCAGGCCAAUCCUGACUCUGGAGUGUUAAAGACGAUAGGGGUGACAACGUUGGGGGAUAAGUGGUACUUAACCUUAAUAAUUAGCAGAACAAAUAAUAAAGUGAUUACAAGUUGUAGCACAAUUAACCUUUUCAAUAAGGGUGCGUUCUCUUUGGUUGUAAAUUUAUCAUGGGAAAAGAAGAUAAACAAAAUUUCACCCUUUAAAUCUUUUUUCUUUUCAAUUCCUACUUGCCCUUAUAUUCCUCAUUUACACUACAAAGGAGAGAUAAUAUUAUCACACCAUUUUUGGAGGGAUAAUAUUAUCCCUUCUUUGUAGUGUAAAUGAGGAAUGAGUAAGGGUCAAGUAGGAUAUUUCGGAAAAGAAAUGAAAGAUUUAAAGGGUGAAAUUUUGUUUAUCCUUCAUUUUCCCAUGAUAAAUUUACAACCAAAGAGAACGCACCAUAAAAAGGUUAAUUUGUGCUACAACUUUGUAAUCACUUUUAUUAUUUUUGUUCUGCUAAUUUAUUUAAGGUUUAAGUACCACUUAUCCCCCAACGUUGUCACCCCUAUCGUCUUUAACACUCCAGAGUCAGGAUUGGCCUGCUCACUACCCUCCCGUUUUUAUGGUAACUUAACCCCGUUAGAUUUUUUUAUUGUAUUUUUAAUAAUUAUGGGCCUCACUCCAACAGUGUGGCCACAAGUCAAUUGUCCAUCACAGCACGAUCAUCAGCCCGCACACCGGAGACGAAGACGGAGAAGGAGGACGUGCAUGAAAUUCGUCAGAAUGUGCAGCAGAAUGGCCGCGAACGUGAGUGCCAUCACCGACAGAAUCACCCCCUGAGCCUUGAGGAAGAUCCUAAGAGGGUAGAGAAAUGAGGGGAAGAAGAGGUCGAGAAUGGCGAAGGCGAUGAAAUUCUGCGCAACCAAGGAGAUCUACUCGUCUUGGUUGCACCAUAGAGGGAUGUGCUUGAUGUUGAACCAGACGACGAUGGGGAGGGAGGCGGCGAGGAGGAGGGUGAUGGUGUGGUGGAGAGUGAGAGCGAGAAGGUUCAUUUGGUCGACAAGGGGCUGUUAAAGGUGAGAAACUGAGACGAAGACGCACGCCGGCCCGGUUGAAGUGGGGCCCACAAUUAUUUAAAAAAAUCUAACAAGGUUAAGUCACCGUUAAAAUGCUGAGAGAAACGAGGGCUUAGCCCACUGGCCACCGGGUCCUCACUUAAGUGAAGUGACCCGGGUUCGAUCCAUCUUGGGAGCGAAUUGGAGAUUGGAGAUAUAAGGUGGAUUUUGGUGAAUGGAGAGAUAAGGUGGUUCUUGGAGUGGAUGGGGAACUAAUUACUAACAUCUAACAUGACUUUGCCCGAUCAAAAAAAAAUGCUGAGAUAAACGGGGUGGGUGGGAGGAGGGGGGAUUUGCUUCUUUUUUGGCACAUUAGCGUAAUGAACAAUGCCAACCCUGACUCUGGAGUGUUAAAGGCGAUAUGGGUGACAACGUUGGGGAGGGGAGUGGGGGGGGAAUGGUACUUAACCCUUUAUUUAAUACAGAAUGAGUACUAUAUAUUUAUGUUUUACAAAUAAAAAAUGAAAAAAUACUUCAUCCAUCACAUUAAAGAUGAUUUGCUUCUUUUCGACACGAAGAUUAAGUAAAAUGUGUAAACUUGAUAAAAUUAUAGUAAGACCCACAAAAUGAAAAACGAGUUAUCUUUAAUGGGACGGAAGAAGUAAUAAAUUAGAGAGAGAGAUGAGUCAAUGUAGAAUUCUAGACUACUCGCAUGUUCCAAAAAAAGUCAUUUUUUAUUAUUUUGAUACGUUCACAAAAAAUAGUCUCUUUUCAUUUAUAAAUACUAUCCCAUAAUAUAUAUCAUUAUCAAUAUAUGAACUUAUAUACUUCUUUUUUGAUAAAUUACAUAAGUAAAUAAAGAAAUUCUUAAAGACCGCACGAUGGAGGACUCGAAACUAGGACCUCAGGUGUUGAGCAUUAACCUCAUACCAUUAGACCAAUACACGCAUAGUGAAUCACAAACUCUACUCACAACGUAAUUAAAAUUAUAAUUAUUAACAUUAUUUUUUAAUUGAGAUAUUUUCUCCAAUUAUAAUACAUUCAAUUAUUUUUAUUAAAACUCGCGUCACCCGCCCAUUUCUCAAAGAAUAUGGAUGUAUUUGCUAUAGAAAAGGAAAAAAGUUGUCCACCAUCAUAAAACUAGUAAAAUUCUAGAAUUUUUUUGUGUUGAAAUGAAAUACUUAUUUAAAAAAGACGAAAAAGAACCCAACCCAAACCUACACCAUACAUUUAAAUCAAAAUGUUGCUUUAUCUUUUGUCGAUUAAUCGUUGAAAAAAUUAGGAUUUCUAUUUUGCACGAUUAAGUUGAGGAUACGAAUUUAAUUUUUUAUUUAACAAAAUAGUGUGCAUUGUUGCAUGAUCAAAAAGUAUUAUGGAAACUGUGACUAUUACUUACAUAUUUUUAUAAAAAUGAAUACAUUUUCCUUUCCUAUAUUAUCCCAAUAAAAUAUUAAGUUGGCAUGAGAAAAAGAUAUAGUGAAGCAAACUAAAAUGAAGCUCCUGCUGAACUCAUUUAGAAGCUAAGUAGCUGUUUGGUGAUUAUUAGAUGCAACCACUCAAUUAUGAGAAGACUGGUAACCGCGUUUCCCUUUCCCCUUCCUUCCUUCGUUCUUUCAUUCAACCCCACUUUAAAUUAACGCACCCACCCUCCUCUACCACUUCACUACACACACUUCUCCUCCCCACCUCCCCUCUCUCUCUCUCUCUCUUCAAAUCUCUCUCGUUGAGGAAAAUGGCAUCCUUCAACAACUUCUUUCUCCUCCUCUUCAUGCUGCUCCUCACCAAUUCCUUCCACCUCACACUCCAAAAGAAGCCUCUCUCUGUCUCCUUCCCUCUCACCUCAGCCCCUCUCAGCUCCAAACCCCACGCCUCCGACGCCAAACUCCUCUCCUCAAAGGUCUCAUCGCCGCCGUUCGGCUACAACUACAAGUCAGCCUUCAAAUACUCAAUGGCUCUGAUCAUCUCCCUCCCCAUCGGCACCCGCCGCAGGCGCAGCAGAUGGUGGUGGACACCGGCAGCCAGCUGUCGUGGAUCCCAGUGCCACCGCAAGGCCCCCCGCAAGCCCCCGCCGCCGUCUUCCUUCGACCCGUCCCUCUCAUCCUCCUUCUCCGUCCUCCCCUGCACCCACCCCAUCUGCAAGCCCCGCAUCCCCGACUUCACCUCCCCACCACCUGCGACCAGAACCGCCUCUGCCACUACUCCUACUUCUACGCCGACGGCACCCUCGCCGAGGGCAAUCUCGUCCGGGAAAGAUUCACCUUCUCCCGCUCCCCCUCCCGCUCCACCCCUCCCCUCAUCCUGGGCUGCGCCGCCGACUCCGCCGCCGACGCCGAGGGCAUUCUGGGAAUGAACCGCGGCCGCCUCUCCUUCGUCUCCCAGGCCAAAGUCCCCAGCUUCUCCUACUGCGUGCCGGUGAGGCGCGCCCGCGACAAUGUCACAAACCCCACGGGAAUGUUCUACCUCGGUCAAAACCCCAACUCUCGGACCUUCCGAUACGUUGACCUCUUGACUUUCCCGGAAGGUCAACGCAUGCCCAACCUCGACCCCCUCGCCUACACCCUGCCCAUGGCCGGCAUCAGAAUCGGCGCCAGGAGAUUGAACAUCUCCGCCGCCGUGUUCCGGCCGGACUCCGGCGGUCCGGGCAGACGAUGAUCGACUCCGGGACGCAGUACACGUUCUUGGUGGAGGCGGCGUACAACAAGGUGAGGGAAGAGGUGGUGAGAGUGUGGGGCCAGAUUGAAGAAGGGUACGUGUAUCAAGGAGCGUUGGAUAUGUGCUUCGACGGCAAUGCCAUCGAGAUCGGACGGCUGAUAGGCGACAUGGCGUUUGAAUUCGACAAGGGCGUCGAGAUUAGCAUCAAUAGAGAUCGAAUUCUGGAUCACGUCGGCGGCGGAGUCCAUUGCGUCGCCAUAGGCCGCUCCGAAGCCUUGGGUGUUGCUAGUAAUAUUAUAGGCAACUUUCAUCAACGGAAUUUGUGGGUCGAAUUUGAUUUGCUUCAUCGACGCCUCGGAUUUGGCGUUGCCGAUUGUAGUAAAGCUCUAUAAUUUUUUUUUCAUUUUUUUUUUGUUAUAAUAUAGUUUUUGUAGUAGUGGAUAGUGUAAUAUUAUUAGCCAAUAGUUUUGGAAGAUCUAGCUCCGACCAAUACAGAAUUUAAGUUAUUUUAAAUUAUUUUAUUAAAUUAACUUUUGCUACUAAGGGGUACAUGUUACUUAAUUUAUGUAGAUAUGUUAGACAAUACUACAAAUUUUUUUAUGACAUAGUAUUUGUUAUGUAGAUCAUUUUAGCAUUUCUCAUAUAAUAACAUAAAAUUAUAAUCAUUUAAAUUAAAAUAUAAAAAUAGGAGUAUUAUUUUGGAUUAUCAUGUUCUUAUAUACUUAAACGAAUUUUGUGUAAUUAAAAUUUGUGUAACAAUGUAAAUAAAAUUGUUAUACAAAAUUCGCCUAAAAAAACAUUGUUACACGAAAUUCAUAUAAAGUAUGUAAGUGUGUAAGGAUAUAAUAGUUCAAAAUAGCUAUUAUUUUCAUAUUUUUAUUUAUAUGGUUAUAAUUUAUAAUUAUUAUAGUGUUUUUUUGACUAGGUUAGAGCGUUACCUCUUGUUUUCUACUUUCUCUGCCCCAAAAUGGUAUGUUCAUUUUUAUUUUUUCGUCUCUCCCACAAGAAUAUAUACAACUCAUCACUUUUGAACUUGACUUUACCACUAACCCCUUAAUUUUAAUCUCCACUACACUUAUUUAUACUUUCAUCGGUAUGAUCCAUCAUUAUUUUUUCUUUUACUCCGAUCCACUAAUAAAAAUAAAUGUAUUUCUCUACUCACAGCACACUUACCUAAUAUUUGCUCAUAUAUCUGCCGAACAAACUUUUGGGAUGGAUGGAGUGUAUACAAUAAGAACAAUAUAACGAGUGCUGAUGAUUAUGAUAGUUUUAUUGUUUAACAAGUUUUUAUCAACUGAAAAUAGCAAGUUUUAGUUGAUUCAUAAUAUUUGUAUGUAUUACUAUAAUAUAGUAAAUGAUUCGUCAAUAAAUCACCGCAUACAGUUGCAUACAUAUUUGUUCGACUGUAUAUAUAUAUUUCCACAUGAGAUCCAGUAAUCAAUCAUCAGUCACUAAAAAAUCUAAAAAUGGACAAAAGUAACUUUAAUAAUCCAUGUUUGGUGUCUGUUUGCUCGAAAAUAAAGUUGGGAUUGCAAAAUGCAAAGUAAAUAAAAUACAGCAGUCUGUGUCGGACCUAGGAAGGGGCGUGAGCUUUUAGCCUCAGCCUAAGUAAUUUCUUUUUUAUGUAAAAUAUUUAAAUAUAAACAUUUCAUGUGGAUAUAGUUGUGCAAAAGCUUCAUCAUCAAAUUAAAUUGUAGAAAAAUUAUUUCUCAAUUUUUAAAAACCGAGCUGUCAUUAAAUAAUUAUUUUUUCAUUCGCCCGAAUAUAAGGGAAAAAUAUUUUUCCAAUAAUUUAAUUAUAUGAAGUACAUAUUUUUACCAUUGAUCCGCGACCGCGAUAAAAGCCUACAGCAUAAAUAUCUGUACUCAUUCUAGAGCAUUUAAAUAUCUAAUUAAUUUCCACCUAUAAAAUUAAUAAUUUGGCAGUGGUGGGCUCUAGAUUUGCUGCUUGCUUGCAAACCUGGAUGACACACUCUCUUUUCGUACUCUGUUUAAAUNCACUCCAAAAGAAGCCUCUCUCUGUCUCCUUCCCUCUCACCUCAGCCCCUCUCAGCUCCAAACCCCACGCCUCCGACGCCAAACUCCUCUCCUCAAAGGUCUCAUCGCCGCCGUUCGGCUACAACUACAAGUCAGCCUUCAAAUACUCAAUGGCUCUGAUCAUCUCCCUCCCCAUCGGCACCCGCCGCAGGCGCAGCAGAUGGUGGUGGACACCGGCAGCCAGCUGUCGUGGAUCCCAGUGCCACCGCAAGGCCCCCCGCAAGCCCCCGCCGCCGUCUUCCUUCGACCCGUCCCUCUCAUCCUCCUUCUCCGUCCUCCCCUGCACCCACCCCAUCUGCAAGCCCCGCAUCCCCGACUUCACCUCCCCACCACCUGCGACCAGAACCGCCUCUGCCACUACUCCUACUUCUACGCCGACGGCACCCUCGCCGAGGGCAAUCUCGUCCGGGAAAGAUUCACCUUCUCCCGCUCCCCCUCCCGCUCCACCCCUCCCCUCAUCCUGGGCUGCGCCGCCGACUCCGCCGCCGACGCCGAGGGCAUUCUGGGAAUGAACCGCGGCCGCCUCUCCUUCGUCUCCCAAGCCAAAGUCCCCAGCUUCUCCUACUGCGUGCCGGUGAGGCGCGCCCGCGACAAUGUCACAAACCCCACGGGAAUGUUCUACCUCGGUCAAACCCCAACUCUCGGACCUUCCGAUACGUUGACCUCUUGACUUCCCGGAAGGUCAACGCACUGCCCAACCUCGACCCCCUCGCCUACACCCUGCCCACUGGCCGGCAUCAGAAUCGGCGCCAGGAGAUUGAACAUCUCCGCCGCCGUGUUCCGGCCGGACUCCGGCGGGUCCGGGGCAGACGAUGAUCGACUCCGGGACGCAGUACACGUUCUUGGUGGAGGCGGCGUACAACAAGGUGAGGGAAGAGGUGGUGAGAGUGGUGGGGCCCAGAUUGAAGAAGGGUACGUGUAUCAAGGAGCGUUGGAU
rnacentral:lncRNA from 1 species